rnacentral:rRNA from 1 species
CUGGCGGCAUGCCUAACACAUGCAAGUCGAACGAGACCUUCGGGUCUAGUGGCGCACGGGUGCGUAACGCGUGGGAAUCUGCCCUUGGGUUCGGAAUAAACUUCGGGAAACUGAAGCUAAUACCGGAUGAUGACGUAAGUCCAAAGAUUUAUCGCCCAAGGAUGAGCCCGCGUAGGAUUAGCUAGUUGGUGAGGUAAAGGCUCACCAAGGCGACGAUCCUUAGCUGGUCUGAGAGGAUGAUCAGCCACACUGGGACUGAGACACGGCCCAGACUCCUACGGGAGGCAGCAGUGGGGAAUAUUGGACAAUGGGCGAAAGCCUGAUCCAGCAAUGCCGCGUGAGUGAUGAAGGCCUUAGGGUUGUAAAGCUCUUUUACCCGGGAUGAUAAUGACAGUACCGGGAGAAUAAGCUCCGGCUAACUCCGUG